rnacentral:lncRNA from 1 species
CAGAAUUGAUCACAUCUUUAAAAAUUAUUUGGCUGCCAAAUGAUUUUUUUUUUGUGGUAAAAUUCACAUAAUAUAAAAGUCACCAUUUUAACCAUUUUCAAAUGUACAGUUCAGUGGCAUUUAGGACAUUCACAAUGUCAUGCAAUUAUCACCACUAUCUUGCUUUAGAUAUUUUGUCACCCCAAAAGGAAACAGGAGACAGUAAGCAGUUGCUCCCAUUCUCCCCUCUCCAUACCCCCCAGCAGCCACUAAUCUGUUUUCUAUCUCUAUAAAUUUGCCUGCUCUGUAUGUUCCAUAUAAAUGGAAUCAUACAACAUGUGGCCUUUUGUGCCUGGCUUCUUUUAGUUAGCAUAUUUUCUAGGUUCAUCAACAUUGUAGCAUGUAUCAGUACUUCAUUCCUUUACAGGGUUGAAUAAUAUUCCGUUGUGUGUAUAGACUGCGUUUUGUUUAUCCACUCAUCUGUCGAUGGACAGUCACGUGUUCCCUACCAUUGGUGUGAAUAGUGCUGCUAUGAACAUUUGUAUGCACAGAGAUGAAGCAAGGAGGUGAGAAGAUGAAUAGACAGGGAAUGAGAAGAAUGAAAACAAAGAGGUGCAGUCAUAGAGGUUCUGAGCAACAAAGGAGACUCCAAGAGCAAACUGGACAGGAGAGAGAAAUGUUCCCAGAGAUACCUUCACCUGCUCGUUGUGGGAGGACACCUGGAAAGACACCUGCAGCAUAACAAGAUCUUUGUUACCACCAACAUGGGUCAGCCUCUUCCGCAGGAAAUAAAGAGUGAUUAAUGUUGUGUGGUAGAAGAGAAGAGAAGUCUGGAAUGUGGCCUUACCUCAGGAAUAUACUCAGUUUUAGGGAAACUGAUCCAGUGUCUGAUCUAAGGAUCACAUUUGAAGAGAAGCAGAAUGAGAGCUGGGCAAAGUUGGAAAAUGGAGCCACAGAAAUAUUGACCCAGUACCACCAGGCUGAGUGCUUCUUUCUAGUAUGUUCUUUAUACACCAGACCUCUGCCGAAUAAUGGAGUUCCAGAGCUGGAAGAGAUCCUCAGAUGUCAUGAAGUCAUCCACUGCCUCCCAGCAAGUUUCAUUUGGAUGGUCUGUUCAGAUUGUCUGUUCCCAGUUGUGGGCUGGGCAAGGAGCAUCCACAGGCGAGUCUUGUGGGGAAGGCAGGUCCAGCCUGAGGAGAAUAUCAGCGGGUAUUUGUGUUGAGAGGAUCAUAAAGUGAGUGAUGACAAUGAAGCUGGAGGAGGUGCCUAAGGAAAUGGUGGAGACGUCUGUGGCGGUGGUGACGUGAAAAGAUUUCAAAACAAAUUAGGAAGAGGAGGAAAAAGGAGUGAGAAAAACUGUGCACACCAUCAAAAUGUUACAGUCAGCAUGC